rnacentral:rRNA from 1 species
UACGGGGGGGGGCAAGCGUUGUUCGGAAUUACUGGGCGUAAAGGGCGCGUAGGCGGCCUUCUAAGUCGAACGUGAAAUCCCUGGGCUCAACCCAGGAACUGCGUCCGAUACUGGGAGGCUUGAAUCCGGGAGAGGGAUGCGGAAUUCCAGGUGUAGCGGUGAAAUGCGUAGAUAUCUGGAGGAACACCGGUGGCGAAGGCGGCAUCCUGGACCGGUAUUGACGCUCAUGCACGAAAAGCGUGGGGGAGCAAAACAGG